AAGGAAAAAAACCCCAGAAACUGAAAGGGGAUGUCUCUGAGGAUUUGCUGUUUGAUUACCAUAACCUUGAAAGCUGAAAUGCAAAAAUCAAUGUCAGUGAUUAGGCUUUUGGCCUUCUGAAGCCACCAGUCUUCCCCUCUGAAAUGCGCCUUGUGCUGUGGCAUUGCUUUAUGCUGUCUGCAUUGCCAGCCCUGAAGUCAUGGAGAGGAUCUGG